rnacentral:rRNA from 1 species
AACCUGGGAACUGCAUCUGAUACUGGCAAGCUUGAGUCUCGUAGAGGGGGGUAGAAUUCCAGGUGUAGCGGUGAAAUGCGUAGAGAUCUGGAGGAAUACCGGUGGCGAAGGCGGCCCCCUGGACGAAGACUGACGCUCAGGUGCGAAAGCGUGGGGAGCAAACAGGAUUAGAUACCCUGGUAGUCCACGCCGUAAACGAUGUCGACUUGGAGGUUGUGCCCUUGAGGCGUGGCUUCCGGAGCUAACGCGUUAAGUCGACCGCCUGGGGAGUACGGCCGCAAGGUUAAAACUCAAAUGAAUUGACGGGGGCCCGCACAAGCGGUGGAGCAUGUGGUUUAAUUCGAUGCAACGCGAAGAACCUUACCUGGUCUUGACAUC